GAUGAACGCUAGCGACAGGCUUAACACAUGCAAGUCGAGGGGCAGCACGAUGUAGCAAUACAUUGGUGGCGACCGGCGCACGGGUGAGUAACGCGUAUGCAACCUACCUAUCAGAGGGGAAUAACCCGGCGAAAGUCGGACUAAUACCGCAUAAAACAGGGGUUCCACAUGGAAAUAUUUGUUAAAGAAUUAUCGCUGAUAGAUGGGCAUGCGUUCCAUUAGAUAGUUGGUGAGGUAACGGCUCACCAAGUCCACGAUGGAUAGGGGUUCUGAGAGGAAGGUCCCCCACACUGGUACUGAGACACGGACCAGACUCCUACGGGAGGCAGCAGUGAGGAAUAUUGGUCAAUGGGCGAGAGCCUGAACCAGCCAAGUCGCGUGAAGGAUGAAGGAUCUAUGGUUUGUAAACUUCUUUUAUAUGGGAAUAAAGUGAGGAACGUGUUCCUUUUUGUAUGUACCAUAUGAAUAAGCAUCGGCUAACUCCGUGCCAGCAGCCGCGGUAAUACGGAGGAUGCGAGCGUUAUCCGGAUUUAUUGGGUUUAAAGGGUGCGUAGGUGGUUAAUUAAGUCAGCGGUGAAAGUUUGUGGCUCAACCAUAAAAUUGCCGUUGAAACUGGUUGACUUGAGUAUAUUUGAGGUAGGCGGAAUGCGUGGUGCAGCGGUGAAAUGCAUAGAUAUCACGCAGAACUCCGAUUGCGAAGGCAG
rnacentral:rRNA from 1 species